UACGUAGGGGGCGAGCGUUGUCCGGAGUUACUGGGCGUAAAGCGCACGCAGGCGGUCUUUUAAGUUUGGAGUGACAGUUGGUGGCUUAACUGCCAAAGUGCUUCGAAAACUGAAAGACUUGAGGGCUUCAGAGGGACACGGAAUUCCGGGUGGAGUGGUGAAAUGCGUAGAGAUCCGGAGGAACACCAAAGGCGAAGGCGGUUCUCUGGGCAUGUCCUGACGCUGGAGGAGCGAAAGUGUGGGGAGCGAACAGG
rnacentral:rRNA from 1 species